rnacentral:lncRNA from 1 species
GUCCGAGCUAAUGGACCUUAAAGGCCAUGGUGCGAGCUACCAUCUGAUGGUGAAGUUUUUCACCAAGAAAGGAGUGGGGCAGAUUUGAGGUAAUCAAGCCAUGGCUCGUCAAUACUUUGUUGUCAAGCUUCGAAUAGAGGGCUAGCCAGUCCAAGCAUACAUCCAGCCUGAGCUUCCGAUAGGGUUGGAUGCUCAUGAUGAUUUGAUCGAGGAAUGUGCCUAGCCCAUUAGAGACCUCCUGAACGUCCCUCUGAGAAGAGAGGAUCUCGGCUAGAUAGUGAAGAUUGGCUCAUGUCCGGAUGAGGUAAUCAAGAAUCGAUUGAUUGCUCUUGUACAGGAGAA